AAAAAGGGGUGUUUUUUCUCGAUUUGGAGAAGAAAGAAAACUGUUUUCUAAGCCUUUAGAGUCAAGAGACACAUCUUUUGCUUCUCUAUAUGAGAACUCUUGCUCUUUCAUCGUCAGGAUAGCUUAAUUAGACUUUACAGACUAUAAUACCUUAUCGAGUGUUAAAAUGUGGACACAGUAUCAUAUAAGCACCCUGAAGUACAACAAAAGACGAGCCUUCU